GCUAUGGAGUAUGAUACCAAACGCUAGUAGCCUGCGAGAAGUCGCGGCGAGAGCGCAUACGAGGAAAUAGCAA
rnacentral:ncRNA from 1 species